GCUGGGAAUGGUGGCCCAUGCCUGUAAUUCCAGAGGCUUGGGAGGCUGAGACAGGAGGAUCUCAAGUUCAAAGCCAGCCUCAGCAAUGGUGAGGUGCUAGGCCACUCAGUGAGACCCUGUCUCUA
rnacentral:sRNA from 1 species